rnacentral:rRNA from 1 species
UACGAAGGGUGCAAACGUUGCUCGGAAUUAUUGGGCGUAAAGCGCAUGUAGGCUGCUCGGAAAGUCGGAUGUGAAAGCCCCGGGCUCAACCCGGGAAGUGCAUUCGAAACUGGCGGGCUUGAAUAUGGAAGAGGGUCGCGGAAUUCCCGGUGUAGAGGUGAAAUUCGUAGAUAUCGGGAGGAACACCGGUGGCGAAGGCGGCGACCUGGGUAGAUACUGACGCUGAGGUGCGAAAGCGUGGGGAGCAAACAGG